rnacentral:antisense_RNA from 1 species
CUCAAUGGCAGCUGUGCGCAGGGCACCUUCGGGUGCGCCGGUAAAGCUUUGGUACCCGGUCGACUAACCUGCCUACAGCUGCCACCCCC